rnacentral:rRNA from 1 species
CACGGGUGCGUAACGCGUGGGAAUCUGCCCUUGGGUUCGGAAUAACUCAGAGAAAUUUGAGCUAAUACCGGAUGAUGACGUAAGUCCAAAGAUUUAUCGCCCAAGGAUGAGCCCGCGUAAGAUUAGCUAGUUGGUGAGGUAAAGGCUCACCAAGGCGACGAUCUUUAGCUGGUCUGAGAGGAUGAUCAGCCACACUGGGACUGAGACACGGCCCAGACUCCUACGGGAGGCAGCAGUGGGGAAUAUUGGACAAUGGGCGAAAGCCUGAUCCAGCAAUGCCGCGUGAGUGAUGAAGGCCUUAGGGUUGUAAAGCUCUUUUACCCGGGAUGAUAAUGACAGUACCGGGAGAAUAAGCCCCGGCUAACUCCGUG